rnacentral:rRNA from 1 species
UGGGGAAUAUUGCACAAUGGGCGGAAGCCUGAUGCAGCGACGCCGCGUGAGGGAUGACGGCCUUCGGGUUGUAAACCUCUUUCAGCAGGGACGAAGCGCAAGUGACGGUACCUGCAGAAGAAGGCCCGGCUAACUACGUGCCAGCAGCCGCGGUAAGACGUAGGGGCCGAGCGUUGUCCGGAGUUACUGGGCGUAAAGGGCGCGCAGGCGGUCCGCUGCGCCGGACGUGAAAGCCUCCGGCUCAACCGGAGAAGGGCGUCGGGGACGGGCGGACUUGAGGGCGGCAGGGGCUGGUGGAAUGCCCGGUGUAGUGGUGAAAUGCGUAGAGAUCGGGCGGAACACCCGUGGCGAAGGCGGCCAGCUGGGCCGACCCUGACGCUGAGGCGCGAAGGCGUGGGGAGCGAACGG